rnacentral:rRNA from 1 species
UACGUAGGGGGCAAGCGUUGUCCGGAAUCAUUGGGCGUAAAGAGCGUGUAGGCGCCAGAAAAGUCCGCUGUGAAAACUCGAGGCUCAACUUCGAGCUGUCGGUGGAAACUUUCUGGCUAGAGUCCGGAAGAGGAGAAUGGAAUUCCUGGUGUAGCGGUGAAAUGCGCAGAUAUCAGGAAGAACACCCGUGGCGAAGGCGGUUCUCUGGGCCGAAACUGACGCUGAGGAGCGAAAGCGUGGGUAGCAAACAGGG